rnacentral:rRNA from 1 species
GAUGAACGCUGGCGGCGUGCCUAAUACAUGCAAGUCGAGCGAACAGAUAAGGAGCCUGCUCCUUUGACGUUAGCGGCGGACGGGUGAGUAACACGUGGGUAACCUACCUAUAAGACUGGGAUAACUUCGGGAAACCGGAGCUAAUACCGGAUAAUAUUUCGAACCGCAUGGUUCGAUAGUGAAAGAUGGUUUUGCUAUCACUUAUAGAUGGACCCGCGCCGUAUUAGCUAGUUGGUAAGGUAACGGCUUACCAAGGCGACGAUACGUAGCCGACCUGAGAGGGUGAUCGGCCACACUGGAACUGAGACACGGUCCAGACUCCUACGGGAGGCAGCAGUAGGGAAUCUUCCGCAAUGGGCGAAAGCCUGACGGAGCAACGCCGCGUGAGUGAUGAAGGUCUUCGGAUCGUAAAACUCUGUUAUUAGGGAAGAACAUACGUGUAAGUAACUGUGCACGUCUUGACGGUACCUAAUCAGAAAGCCACGGCUAACUACGUG